rnacentral:rRNA from 1 species
CAAUAGCGUAUAUUAAAGUUGUUGCGGUUAAAAAGCUCGUAGUUGGAUUUCUGCUGAGAACGACCGGUCCGCCCUUUGGGUGUGUAUCUGGCUCUUUCUUGGCAUCUUCUUGGUGAACGUUGCUGCACUUGACUGUGUGGAGCGCUACCCAGGACUUUUACUUUGAGGAAAUUAGAGUGUUUCAAGCAGGCAUACGCCUUGAAUACAUUAGCAUGGAAUAAUAAGAUAGGACCUCGGUUCUAUUUUGUUGGUUUCUAGAGCUGAGGUAAUGAUUAAUAGGGAUAGUUGGGGGCAUUCGUAUUUAACUGUCAGAGGUGAAAUUCUUGGAUUUGUUAAAGACGGAUUACUGCGAAAGCAUUUGCCAAGGAUGUUUUCAUUGA